UAGGCUGGGCACUGAGGAUAAAGACAAAUGGUUCUGGUUGUUUAGUGUAAAAAAGAAGAAACUACACGGGAAUCGGGGGGCUUGUUUAUUUUGAAUCUGCAGCUCCUGUGUGUGCAUUUGCUUUUUUAUUCUCCUGAACGACUUCUAACUUACUCAGAUGUGAAACUGAAACCUGGCGUGUGUGGACAUUUCCCAAGAGGAAAAAUCCAAGAGCUGUCGUGGAACUGGAGGAGUGUGAUUAAAAAGAGAAAGAGGAAAUAUAAAGAUUGUGCUGGUGCAGCUGAAGGGACUUCAUAGGACCCCACAAAUAUGUUAUGUUAUUCAAGAACUUCUUGCACAAAUAGAAAUCUAGCCACAAAAACCCUGGAUGUAUGAACAGCAGCACAAGAGUAGGGGUGCUCCUCUCCCGUGUGCACGUGUCACUCUCCAGGGGUUUUUAGCAGACUGAUUCUGAUUUUUGGUUCCAUGAUUUAAAAUGAAUGUGAUGGAUAUAGAGAGAACAGCAAAAAUGAUCAAAAGAUCAGAAAAUGAAAUAUCUCAGGACAGAGAAUUAUAACACAGGUUUUGACCCUUAAGUAAAUGCCACAGUGUUUUUGAACUGGAAAAGGGAUGAGUGAUUACAAAACUGGAAAUGAGAAAUGUGACCGAGGCAGUGAAUGGACACCUGACUACAGACAGUGUCACGUGAGGGCCUCAGACAAAUUUCUGCCUGAGAACCGCCAGCCUGCUUUCAGCCUUGUGCCUUCCAAAUUCACACCGUUGGCUGGACUUUUCUGGAGGAAGGGGGAUGUAGAUCUCUGCGUGCCUGCAGCCAUGCCCUGGCCGCCCCUCUGAAAUGGUGCCCAGCUCCCAGAUUUCAGAUUGUCCACUUCUGCGUGGGCCUGUCCAGGUUCCUGGAACCCAGCCUUUGUCUGCACCACCCCAGAACCUGGUGAUGUUCUUGGCCCAGAGCAGUCAAUGGUUUCCGUGGAUGUUUGAUGCAGGAUCACAGGUGACAGAUGGACAGCCAGAGGCUCGGCAUUACCCUCUGUCCACCACACUUCUCACGCUUCCCCACCGACGUAGCUCCUGAAGCAGAUGAGACUCAGCCUGGGUGGUGCAGGAUGUCGUAGGUGACCUGUCCUGCACGACAUUUCUUUUAAGUAUCCAAAAUCUGUUAUCUCAAAAUUCUCUUAAAAUGUAUGCCAAUUUAGCCUAUUAUUCCAUUACAUGUUUGCUUCAAUAUUAUUUUUAAAAUAAAUUACUAGUCAAUUUACUUUAAAUUAUUUGGCUCCUUGCCUCCCUCCCACAAAUAAAACUGCCCCAUAUUCAUCCUAUGGAUUCUAAGCCCUUCUUGCCUCCUGUCAGUGUCUGCAGAGGUAUGAAUACAACCAAUUUGGGACACAUCGCGCUGUGCCACACAGCCGUUCCCAGGCCUGGGCUGAAGGCAGGGCUGGAUAAUACUGCUGCGUAAAACAAGAAGCACCAGCUCAAUGAAGCAGCAUCUACUUCCAGGGCAAAUGUGCUGAACGACACCUGGCUCCAAGCGUUAUCAGAGACAAAUAUGUCUGGACAAGGUUUCAAGACAUUUUGCAACUUAAAUCAAAAGAAACUUCCUGACUUUCCCAGACAUUUAUCAGUGUGGAGCUGAUGUGUUCUAAGCACUGGGCAUAUGAAGAUGAAUACGGUAUGUGCCUUGCCUUGAACAGUCAUAACCCAGCUGAGCAGACAGGAGUAUAAACAGACUGAUGAUAACCAGGGAGAGAGCAUUGAAUGAACUAUU